rnacentral:rRNA from 1 species
GCUCGUAGGCGGUCUGUCACGUCGGCUGUGAAAACCCGAGGCUCAACCUCGGGCCUGCAGUCGAUACGGGCAGACUAGAGUUCGGUAGGGGAGACUGGAAUUCCUGGUGUAGCGGUGAAAUGCGCAGAUAUCAGGAGGAACACCGGUGGCGAAGGCGGGUCUCUGGGCCGAAACUGACGCUGAGGAGCGAAAGCGUGGGGAGCGAACAGGAUUAGAUACCCUGGUAGUCCACGCCGUAAACGUUGGGCGCUAGGUGUGGGGGGUCUUCCACUCCCUCCGUGCCGCAGCAAACGCAUUAAGCGCCCCGCCUGGGGAGUACGGCCGCAAGGCUAAAACUCAAAGGAAUUGACGGGGGCCCGCACAAGCGGCGGAGCAUGUGGCUUAAUUCGACGCAACGCGAAGAACCUUACCAAGGCUUGACAUGCAGGGAAAUCUCAUAGAGAUAUGGGGUCCGUAAGGGUCCUGCACAGGUGGUGCAUGGUUGUCGUCAGCUCGUGUCGUGAGAUGUUGGGUUAAGUCCCGCAACGAGCGCAACCCUCGUCCUAUGUU